UACAGAGGGUGCAAGCGUUAAUCGGAAUGACUGGGCGUAAAGGGUGCGUAGGUGGUUAAUUAAGUUUCAUGUGAAAGCCCCGGGCUCAACCUGGGAAUGGCAUGGAAAACUGAAUAGCUUGAGUAGAGGAGAGGUGAGUGGAAUUUCCGAUGUAGCAGUGAAAUGCGUAGAGAUCGGGAGGAACAUCAGUGGCGAAGGCGACUCACUGGACUCAUACUGACACUGAAGCACGAAAGCGUGUGGAGCAAACAGG
rnacentral:rRNA from 1 species